GAAACAAAAGCCAAUUCCAAACCGUUUUGCCUCCGACGAAAAGCUUCCUCCCACGUUUCGGAGGGGCACCGCUCCGAUUUGGGCUGAAAUCGCGAGCGCCCGCAAAACGUACCCCUUCAUCCCCCGCGACCACGAAAAAUAAGAAAACAGAGCAGGGAGGUCGGCCACGACCUAGGAGCUCGGCGGCGGCGACCACCACGAGCACCGGCGGCUGCGCAGAUUACUGAAAUUUCGUUGAUCCAUAAGCCGAUUGAAGGGACUAGCAGGUAGUGCUUGGCGGCACGCCACGCUUCGUUGAUUCGUUUGAAAUUUGCUUUCAUGGAGUUCUUAAAAAAUGUUGUAUGUUUUGCAUGCGUGUAUCUUUAUAGUGAGGGAAUGAAGCAUGUAUGUUGCUCUGUUCGACAGCAAACUGAACAUGUAUGGUAGCAUGUGUGCUGCUCCUUUCGACAGCAGAAAGUUCGCUUCUGCUUUGUUAGACAGCAUAAAAUUCUAUGUUGUUUUCAUCAUUUUGAUCUAAUUCAGUUCACCAAAA